GACGAACGCUGGCGGCGUGCUUAACACAUGCAAGUCGAACGGAAAGGCCCUGCUUGCAGGGUACUCGAGUGGCGAACGGGUGAGUAACACGUGGGUGAUCUGCCCUGCACUUCGGGAUAAGCCUGGGAAACUGGGUCUAAUACCGGAGAGGAGCCAUUUUUAGUGUGAUGGUUGGAAAGUUUUUUCGGUGUAGGAUGAGCUCGCGGCCUAUCAGCUUGUUGGUGGGGUAAUGGCCUACCAAGGCGGCGACGGGUAGCCGGCCUGAGAGGGUGGGCGGCCACAUUGGGACUGGGAUACGGCCCAGACUCCUACGGGAGGCAGCAGUGGGGAAUAUUGCACAAUGGGCGCAAGCCUGAUGCAGCGACGCCGCGGGGGGGAUGACGGCCUUCGGGUUGUAAACGCCUUUCGCUAGGGACGAAGCUUUUUGUGACGGUACCUAGAUAAGAAGCACCGGCUAACUACGUG
rnacentral:rRNA from 1 species